UACGGAGGGUGCAAGCGUUAUCCGGAAUCAUUGGGUUUAAAGGGUCCGCAGGCGGUCUUGUAAGUCAGUGGUGAAAGCCUACAGCUCAACUGUAGAACUGCCAUUGAUACUGUAAGACUUGAAUUCGAUCGAAGUGGGCGGAAUAUGACAUGUAGCGGUGAAAUGCUUAGAUAUGUCAUAGAACACCGAUAGCGAAGGCAGCUCACUAGGUCUGGAUUGACGCUCAGGGACGAAAGCGUGGGGAGCAAACAGG
rnacentral:rRNA from 1 species